UACGUAGGGGGCAAGCGUUGUCCGGAUUUAUUGGGCGUAAAGAGCGUGUAGGCGGCCCGGUAGGUCAGCUGUGAAAACUCGAGGCUCAACCUCGAGACGCCGGUUGAAACCAUCUGGCUAGAGUCCGGAAGAGGAGACUGGAAUUUACGGUGUAGCGGUGAAAUGCGUAGAUAUCGUAAGGAAGACCAGUGGCGAAGGCGGGUCUCUGGACAGUUCCUGACGCUGAGGCACGAAGGUCAGGGGAGCAAACGGG
rnacentral:rRNA from 1 species